rnacentral:tRNA from 1 species
UGUGGCUUAGAUGGUAGAGUGCUUGCCUGGCAUGCAUAAGGCCCUGGGUUCUAUUCCCAACA